GUUUCGGCCUGGAUUCUUUGGAUGAACGGACUAUAGUUUUAAGCAAGUAUUACCUAUGGAUUCUACUUACACUGCCAGUUAGAGCAGAAGGCGCGAAAGGGACAACAACUUCCACGCUGACCAAAUUUCAUUCAUCCCUUCUUAACCCCUAAACAUACGGCGGAAUUCGCUGUAUGUCGCUAUCUGACAACUCUGCAGCUCUAGAUGUCAAAGUAGAUGAUAUGUUUCGUCUGUGGUUCGUGUGAUUGCAUUUUAAUUUUCUUUCACCCUCCCUCACGGACCCUUCUUGUGGAUGCCCUGUUAUUACCUAUUAUGGGAUCUAGGAAACUAAUUAGUAAGGCCCAAAUCUCAGUCAUUUGUGCCUCAGUGAGGGAGAAUAAGUCAAAUCAAGAAACUGCCACGAACACUGGCAAAGGUCUGAGAAUUGUUCAAUGUUGGACCAAAAUUUAUCAUGAGGGAGGAAAGACACUUCGCCACCACCUUACAAGCCUGAAGGGCGUAAGCGCAGUAUGAGCCAGAGAAAUCUGAACAUUAUUCGAAGACAGCUUUAGGCCAACCCUCUCAUACAUAGCAAGGAACUUUAGGCUAGGAACCCUCUGUGCUGGGUGGGGUGAGUGAAAGGAGUGGGCGGAGAUAUGUGGAAGGCGACAUGGGAUAAUGGAGUUGCCGCACAGUUUCAAAACCUUGCUUCAGUCAUGUUUACCUUACCAGUAGGCUUGCAGUUUGUGUCUCAGCACAAAGAUUGGGACUUCGGCAAGCUUUCAAAUUACAGACAACCAGAGAAACCGUGUGUACCGCAGACCCGGUAGUAACCAUCACGAUCCACGCUACACAACACACACAUUAAAAUCCAGAUUCUUUGAUGGUGUGGGGUUGUUUUUCUUACUAUGGUCUUGAAAAAUUAGUGUUUUUACCUAAGAAUGUUCGUAUGAACCAAAAUAACUCCUUUGAGCUAAUUCUAGAUGAGUUAGAUGAGUGUACGGAAAAGUGCAAUGCUGAUAGCUUCAUGCAAGAUGGUGCACCGUGCCAUACGGUUAAGUUGAUUGUUGACUGGUUUGAUUUCUGCAAUGUCAGCCUUUUAAAACCUUGGCCCACAAGUUCCCCAGACCUUAACCUUAUGAAAAAUCCUUGGGCAUACAUAUAACUGAAGCUAAAGGAGAGAGAUACCUCCUCCCUCUCACACCUCCAAGCCGCUAUUCAGGACAUAUGGGACAAUAUUGAUGCUCAGUAUCUCCCCCACCUGGGUGAUUCACUUCCCAGGAGACUCAAAAGGUCAAGAAGGCAUGCGGGCACCCUAUCAAUCACUAGUUUAGGUGAAUACCCUUAUUAAAACAUAUUUUCUGUGUCAUUAAUCUCCUUCUUAAGGUGUCACAGGUACCGCACCUUCCGCUCUGACCAGCAGUGUAGUUUAAGCGAACUAUAAAUAUUUAAUGUGUUUUAAAAUAAAUGUUGUUGCAGCUUUUACUGGUAAUGUCAUGUCAGCCGGGUGAAAGACCUGCAAAAGAAGAGCAGGAAAAUGAGGAGAGCUGGAUGGACCACAAUAUUAGGUCAGUGCCUUUAAUCUUGCCCAACAGGGCUUGCAAAAUUAACCCAAGCAGGUUAUAUUGAGUGUAAAUUAACUCAAAAUAUAUAAUAUGGUGUGUUAACUUGACUUUGCUAUUUAAAAUAGUAGUAAUAUAGUUACAAUUCUUAAUAAAGUGGUCCCUCCAGCUCUCCUAAUUUUCUGAUGCUGCUGCCACAUCUUGCACAACGCGGUCUGGACCAGCCAACUAGUUAAGGGGUGCAAGGUAAUCCACGUACGUGCCAUGUCGCACAACAUAUGUAAAGAUAGGAAUAUUCCCAUUCCUAUUGAUACAGCACAACCAGAUUUUGAAGAACAGCAGCACGACAACUUGCAAGAAGUGUCACUACUUCCAACUAGUUAACGAAAUUCAAGUUGCCUGUAUUGAGAUGAAUUCUGCAACUUACAUUUUGACAAUCCUGCCUGAAGCAUAGACCUCCUACCCCUCAGCAGACUUGGCCAGUCCCAUGCCAAGCUGCUUCCUGUGCCUGUGGAGCUUCUCAACAGAAUCUGGGUUGCCUGUAUUGAGCAAUCCUGCCUGAAGCCUGCACCUCCUGUUCCCUAUGAACACUUGGCUAGUCACGUGCUAAAGUAGCUGCCUCUUGAGCAAGGGCAUUAAGUGGCUGAGACUAUCUUAUCUGCACAGCCACUUCUGCCUCUUCAUCUUUCCUUGUUGGAGUGGACAGAAUGGGUUGAGGCUCUUCUACAAGGAAGAUUGUCCCUCGGCAUUUUGCUCAUCA